GAUGAACGCUGGCGGCGUGCCUAAUACAUGCAAGUCGAGCGAACAGACGAGGCUCUUGCUCCUCUGACGUUAGCGGCGGACGGGUGAGUAACACGUGGAUAACCUACCUAUAAGACUGGGAUAACUUCGGGAAACCGGAUCUAAUACCGGAUAAUAUAUUGAACCGCAUGGUUCAUUAGUGAUAGACGUUUUUGCUGUCACUUAUAGAUGGUUCCGCGCCGCAUUAGCUAGUUGGUAAGGUAACGGCUUACCAAGGCGACGAUGCGUAGCCGACCUGAGAGGGUGAUCGGCCACACUGGAACUGAGACACGGUCCAGACUCCUACGGGAGGCAGCAGUAGGGAAUCUUCCGCAAUGGGCGAAAGCCUGACGGAGCAACGCCGCGUGAGUGAUGAAGGUCUUCGGAUCGUAAAACUCUGUUAUUAGGGAAGAACAAAUGUGUAAGUAACUAUGCACGUCUUGACGGUACCUAAUCAGAAAGCCACGGCUAACUACGUG
rnacentral:rRNA from 1 species